GAGUUUGAUCAUGGCUCAGAUUGAACGCUGGCGGCAUGCCUUACACAUGCAAGUCGAGCGGCAGCGCGGGGGCAACCCUGGCGGCGAGCGGCGAACGGGUGAGUAAUACAUCGGAACGUGUCCAGUAGCGGGGGAUAACCUCUCGAAAGAGAGGCUAAUACCGCAUACGACCUACGGGUGAAAGCGGGGGACCGCAAGGCCUCGCACUAUUGGAGCGGCCGAUGUCGGAUUAGCUAGUUGGCGGGGUAAAAGCCCACCAAGGCGACGAUCCGUAGCUGGUCUGAGAGGACGAUCAGCCACACUGGAACUGAGACACGGUCCAGACUCCUACGGGAGGCAGCAGUGGGGAAUUUUGGACAAUGGGGGCAACCCUGAUCCAGCCAUGCCGCGUGAGUGAAGAAGGCCUCGGUUGUAAG
rnacentral:rRNA from 1 species